rnacentral:miRNA from 1 species
UUAAUACUCCCUCCGUCCCUA